rnacentral:rRNA from 1 species
AGAUAAGGUAUCAUCGAGUCGUGGUAGACCACCACGUUGAUAGGCCGGGUGUGGAAGUGCGGUAACGCAUGAAGCUAACCGGUCCUAAUCACUCUCAUCAUGCUUGU